UUAACCUUCGGACCCUGUUAACAACUAACCGCUGACCCUGAUAACAACUAACCUGCUGACCCUGAUAACAACUAACCUCGCUGACCCUGUUAACAACUAACCUGCUGACUCUGAUAACAACUAACCUGAGACCCUGAUAACAACUAACCUGCUGACCCUGAUAACAACUAACCUGCUGACCCUGUUAACAACUAACCUGCUGACCCUGUUAACAACUAACCUGCUGACUCUGAUAACAACUAACCUGCUCACCCUGAUAACAACUAACCUGCUGACUCUGAUAACAACUAACCUGCUCACCCUGAUAACAAUUACCUUCGGACCCUGUUUACAACUAACCUGCUGACCCUGAUAACAAACUAACCUGCUGACCUGAUAACAACUAACCUGCUGACCCUGUUAACAACUAACCUGCUGACUCUGAUAACAACUAACCUGAUGACCCUGAUAACAACUAACCUGCUGACCCUUGAAACAACUAACCUGCUGACCCUUUAACAACUAACCUGCUGACCCUGUUAACAACUAACCUGCUGACCUCUGAUAACAACUAACCUGCUCACCCUGAUAACAAACUAACUCUUGACCCUGAUAACAACUAACCUGCUGACCCUGUUAACAACUAACCUGCUGACUCUGAUAACAACUAACCUGCUCACCCUGAUAACAAUUAACCUUCGGACCCUGUUAACAACUAACCUGCUGACCCUGUUAACAACUAACCUGCUGACCCUGUUAACAACUAACCUGCUGACCCUGUUAACAACUAACCUGCUGACCCGGAUAACAACUAACCUGCUGACCCUGAUAACAACUAACCUGCUGACCCUGAUAACUAACCUUCUGACCCUGAUAACAACUAACCUGCUGACCCUGAUAACUAACCUUUUGACUCUGAUAACAACUAACCUCCUGACUGAAUCUUUAUGCCUUUAUUGCGACUUUGUUAACACUAAACUUAAAUUGAGUGUCGUUGCAUUGUUACAAUGUUGCACAUUGCUCACUAGAUGGCACUAUAACAAAGUUGAUAGAGAAACUGAAUGAGUCUUCUGACAUAAUUUAUUAUAGCAGUUUUGUUAAGUAGGCAAUGCAGCUUCUUAACUUCUACGACAGCAAAUUAGAAUGCACGAGGUUUUGAAUUCUUUACAAAAGUAGGGGCAACUGCAUUUUUCCAGUACGCAUGAUUUUGUAUCCUUUCAGAAAGCAGGAAGCAGCACGCUGUUAAUCGCAGUCAGACAGAUAACAGCAUUUCCUGGGAAGGUCAAUUCAACGGCAUUGUUUACAAAGGUGUUUUGAUUGUGUCUUUCGGUGGCUACAAAUUCAUUCAAACGAAUGUCAGUGACUUUGGCCCGUGAUCUUGGAUUACCGAUGGACCAACAGGUUGGUGAAGAUCAUUAAUUGGCAUUUGAAAUAAAUCAGUUAAAGACUAACUUUCUGUUUUGACAAUUUACAUUUUUAUAUGUAGCUGAGCUACCUCCUAUAUUUUUACGGAAACAUGAAUAUGCUUUGACAGUGAUGUAUGCACAGUAGCUAUUGAUUGACACACAACAUGGAAUUUGAUCAUCACAUGCUCUUGGCCUAUAAAGGGAUCUUGGCUCUUUCAGUAUGGCUUGUAUGGAAAGAAUGCGGAGGUAAUCAAUGUUGCCAAGUUUUCCAGAGACACCGAUUCAUCAAUGGAAACUAAAUGCAUUGUAUGUCAGUCAAACAGUACUGAAAAGGCUGGGAAUAUGGGGAGAUAAGGGGAUUAAGCAGACAAAAGGAGUGUCUGAUUUGAGCCUAUUUCACUGUAACGCAUUCAUUUUAGUGCUGCUUCUAAUCGUCUAGUUCAGACUACAACUGCAAAGGACUUGUGACAUAAACUGUUGAAAUCACAUAAAACAUUUCAUGGUUUCAGUUCUGCAGCUAUAAUGACGUGAUGCAUGUGUAUAAUAUGCGAAGCUAUGCAGGAACUGGUGACAGGUCGCUUUUCAGACCGUCCAUUAGAAAGUCACACCUCUAUUGUAGAUGCSAAAGGGAUAUGAGUGCAGUUACUACGUUUUUUAAAUGACAUAUUUAGUUUAAUCUAAAAAGGCACUUAUUUUCAAUACAGCAGCACUAGGCCACCCACCCACCCCAUCAUAAAGUGGACUGUGCCACUCCUCAAUUGAGUUUUCUCAGUGACCUAUUGAAGGGUAUCUUCAGCACACAUGAAACCAAUUUGCCCAGAAAUUCCCCUCAAGCAGAGAAAUUCAAUUAAAGGGUGUUUAUCUUGUAUCUCCUGAGGUGGCUGCCUUUACAGAGGAGACAAGCUACAAGCUACAGCUGUAUUUCCUCCAACUCUACUUUGUUGUUUGGUGAGGUGAUGCCAUAGUUGCUUUUGAUGACACCUUUUUUAAUGGUUUCUCAGAGCAGAGGACACUCUCCAAUGUUGUUUCUUUUCUUAGUAGUGAUCAGGUGAGCUGUGUUUCAAGCCUGUGAGCCUCUUGGCUUGUUGUAAAUAUCUAUUAAAAGGUGAUAUAAUAUAAUAAGRAGGAUGUCAUGUGCUCUUUAUCUUGUUAGCCAGCUGCUGUGAUUAAGGGUAUAACAACUUGCCCAAAUGAACAAGCUAAGGAGUGUGACUCAUGUUUCUGAAGAACAAUCUCUUUCUCUCUCUCUCUCUCUGUCUCUCUCUCUUUCUCUCUCUCUCUCUCUGUCUCUCUCUCUUUCUCUCUCGGCUCGCUCGCUCGCUUCCUCCUCCAAAGCACAAAUCCCAUGCUUGGAUGUGAUUCCACCACUGUGAGCCUGAUGUACAG
rnacentral:lncRNA from 1 species